AGCUAGUUGACGAGUCCCAAAUAGGACAAAAUGCGUAUCCUCGCUGGAU
rfam:Trichobilharzia regenti genome assembly, scaffold: TRE_scaffold0031357